UGGGGAAUUUUGGACAAUGGGCGAAAGCCUGAUCCAGCAAUGCCGCGUGCGUGAAGAAGGCCUUCGGGUUGUAAAGCACUUUUGUCCGGAAAGAAAUCCUUGGCUCUAAUACAGUCGGGGGAUGACGGUACCGGAAGAAUAAGCACCGGCUAACUACGUGCCAGCAGCCGCGGUAAUACGUAGGGUGCAAGCGUUAAUCGGAAUUACUGGGCGUAAAGCGUGCGCAGGCGGUUUGCUAAGACCGAUGUGAAAUCCCCGGGCUCAACCUGGGAACUGCAUUGGUGACUGGCAGGCUAGAGUAUGGCAGAGGGGGGUAGAAUUCCACGUGUAGCAGUGAAAUGCGUAGAGAUGUGGAGGAAUACCGAUGGCGAAGGCAGCCCCUGGGCCAAUACUGACGCUCAUGCACGAAAGCGUGGGGAGCAAACAGGAUUAGAUACCCUGGUAGUCCACGCCCUAAACGAUGUCAACUAGUUGUUGGGGAUUCAUUUCCUUAGUAACGUAGCUAACGCGUGAAGUUGACCGCCUGGGGAGUACGGUCGCAAGAUUAAAACUCAAAUGAAUUGACGGGGUCAUA
rnacentral:rRNA from 1 species